UACGUAGGGUGCGAGCGUUAAUCGGAAUUACUGAGCGUAAAGCGUGCGCAGGCGGUUCUCCAAGUCCGUUGUGAAAGCCCCGGGCUCAACCUGGGAAUGGCAGUGGAAACUAGGGGACUGGAAUCUGGCAGAGGGGGGUGGAAUGCCGCGUGUAGCAGUGAAAUGCGUAGAGAUGCGGCGGAACACCGAUGGCGAAGGCAGCCCCCUGGGCUGAGAUUGACGCUCAGGCACGAAAGCGUGGGGAGCAAACAGG
rnacentral:rRNA from 1 species